AUUGUUGUCCCUUUUUAGCAACUGCAUGAAUCUGGUUUUCAAGCUUUUCCAUAUCAUCUAUUCUGGUUGCACCAUCAGCAUCAAGCAUUAAAAGCAGUUCACCACGUGAGUGAAGCAUUCCUUUCCUUAUAGCUUCCCCUUUCCCGUGGUUCUUCCCAAGAAGGAUGACUCGCACGUUGUCUACAGAGUGUCUCUUCACAAAUUCAAAAGCCACUCUUUUUGUUCCAUCAGCACUCCCAUCAUCAACAAUAAUAACCUCAUAUGUAAA
rnacentral:misc_RNA from 1 species